rnacentral:lncRNA from 1 species
CGACCGUUGAUUCUCUAGGUGACUUGCUCGAAUUUGACGGACCAAGUUCUGACCUUGUUCGACUAGGCAAUCGCGAGAAGUGUCCGAAGUUCUGGAACCGAUGUGAGCUUUCUGUGCCGGGACGUCUUGCAGGAGGUAUAGGCGGUCGAGGAGCCACUGCAAUCGGCGCUGCUGGGGACGGUUGCGGCGGAGGUGGACGGAUCUCCACCGUGGGCGUACGGAUUUCUCGAGGCGGCGCAGCGGUUGUAACGGUUGCGCUAUGUCCGAAGUUCUGGAAACGAUGUGAGCUUUCAGUGCCGGGACGUCUUGCAGGAGGAGGUAUAGGCGGUCGAGGAGCCACUGCAAUCGGCGCUGCAGGGGAUGGUUGCGGCGGAGCUGGACGGAUCUCCACCGUAGGCGUACGAAUUUCUCGCGGCGGCGCAGCAGUUGUAACGGUUGCGCUCGGUGUGGAAUAAAGG